rnacentral:lncRNA from 1 species
GUCUCAGGUUCAACUUCUGAUUUUAAAUUGGGUUGGGAGAUUGCAUCACUUUCUGGGCAAGUUGACAGAGUAACAUCCCCAAUGGGCACAAUCUCAGGUUCAAUUUCUAAUUUGGAAUUCGGUUCUGAUAUUGCAUCAUUAACUGGGAAACUUGACAAGGUAUCCUCUAUACCAGGCCCACCCUCAGCUUCAAUUUCUGAUUUUGAAUGCUCAAGAAGGCAAGGACUAGGGCUUUCACUACUCUUCUCAUUUAGGUUUACAGCAUCAGUCCCUGCCAUCCCAUCGUCAACAGUGCAAGUUGAAACAUCUUCAGUAGGUAGAGAAACCUCGUUU